rnacentral:rRNA from 1 species
AGAGUUUGAUCCUGGCUCAGGACGAACGCUGGCGGCGUGCCUAAUACAUGCAAGUCGAGCGGAUCUAGAGGAGUGCUUGCACUCCGAAGGGUUAGCGGCGGACGGGUGAGUAACACGUAGGCAACCUGCCUGUAAGACUGGGAUAACUACCGGAAACGGUAGCUAAGACCGGAUAGACGAAGGGUCGGCAUCGAUCUUUC